CCUACGGGAGGCAGCAGUGGGGAAUAUUGCACAAUGGGGGAAACCCUGAUGCAGCGACGCCGCGUGAGUGAAGAAGUAAUUCGUUACGUAAAGCUCUAUCAGCAGGGAAGAAAAUGACGAUACCUGAGUAAGAAGCCCCGGCUAACUACGUGCCAGCAGCCGCGGUAAUACGUAGGGGGAACGCGUUAGCCGGAUUUACUGGGUGUAACGGGAGCGGAGACGGUUGGCCAAGUCUGGAGUGAAAUGCCUCAGCUUAACUGCGGAACUGCUUUGGAAACUGGCGAACUAGAGUGCGGGAGGGGUAAGCGGAAUUCCAAGUGUAGCGGUGAAAUGCGUAGAUAUUAGGAGGAACACCGGUGGCGAAGGCGGCUUACUGGACCGUAACUGACGCUGAGGCUCGAAAGCGUGGGGAGCAAACAGGAUUAGAUACCCCAGUAGUC
rnacentral:rRNA from 1 species